AUACGGAGGGUGCAAGCGUUAUUCGGAAUCACUGGGCGUAAAGGACGCGUAGGCGGGUUGGCAAGUCAGAUGUGAAAUCCUACAGCUUAACUGUAGAACUGCAUUUGAAACUGCUAACCUAGAGUAUGGGAGGGGGAGAUGGAAUUAGUGGUGUAGGGGUAAAAUCCGUAGAUGUCACUAGGAAUACCGAAAGCGAAGGCGAUCUCCUGGAACAUAACUGACGCUAAGGCGUGAAAGCGUGGGGAGCAAACAGGAUUAGAAACCCUAGUAGUCC
rnacentral:rRNA from 1 species